AAGGCAAUCAAGAAGCAAGAGAAGGACCUGAAACUCAAACCAGAAAUACGAGGAGAUGACUGUGGCAGAGGGACUGUCCUCAGGGUUAGCCCAGCGAUGUCCAGCCUCAUUGGGAUCAGCGGAGACAGAGCUGUGGGGCCGCCAGCCUCUCUCUCAGUGAGGGCUUCUUGGCAUCUAAACAUCCUUUCAGACCCACAGUGUUGUCUUC